GAUCCUGACUCAGGAUGAACGCUGGCGGCGUGCUUAACACAUGCAAGUCGAACGAAGCACUUUGCUUGAUUUCCUUCGGGGAUGAUUGUUCUGUGACUGAGUGGCGGGCGGGUGAGUAACGCGUGGAUAACCUGCCUCACACAGGGGGAUAACAGUUGGAAACGACUGCUAAUACCGCAUAAGCGCACAGCACCGCAUGGUGCAGUGUGAAAAACUCCGGU
rnacentral:rRNA from 1 species